CGCGGCUAUCAUGCAAGUCGAGCGCGCCCUUCGGGGUGAGCGGCGGACGGGUGAGUCCCCUUAGGGAAUAUGCCCUUCUCUAAGGAAUAGCCUCUGGAAACACGGAGAGUAAUACCUUAUACGCCCUUUGGGGGAAAGAUUUAUCGGAGAAGGAUUAGCCCGCGUUAGAUUAGGUAGUUGGUGGGGUAAUGGCCUACCAAGCCUACGAUCUAUAGCUGGUUUGAGAGGAUGAUCAGCCACACUGGGACUGAGACACGGCCCAGACUCCUACGGGAGGCAGCAGUAGGGAAUCUUAGACAAUGGGGGCAACCCUGAUCUAGCCAUGCCGCGUGUGUGAUGAAGGCCCUAGGGUCGUAAAGCACUUUCGCCAGAGAUGAUAAUGACAGUAUCUGGUAAAGAAACCCCGGCUAACUCCGUGCCAGCAGCCGCGGUAAUACGGAGGGGGUUAGCGUUGUUCGGAAUUACUGGGCGUAAAGCGCACGUAGGCGGAUUAGUAAGUUAGAGGUGAAAUCCCAGGGCUCAACCCUGGAACUGCCUUUAAUACUGCUAGUCUUGAGUUCGAGAGAGGUAAGUGGAAUUCCGAGUGUAGAGGUGAAAUUCGU
rnacentral:rRNA from 1 species